AGACCCGCGACCUAGCUCUGUGACUGCGAUAGCGACACCAGCCCGGAGGGAUCCCCUGUGCCAAUCCGGUGUCCUCCCAGGAUCCCGAGUCCUCUCGCCCAGCGGACGCGUGCCGCGGUCAAUCGGGGUCCCUGAACCCAAGAGGACACGCGGGGCCCCCUCGAGCUCUGGGAGUUACAUCUCCACCUCAGAUCCCCAGGGACAUAGACGGGGAAUGGAGGCCUGAGGGAAGGCAUCUUCCUGCACCCCUCUCACUCUACUGCCUCGCUGCAUUGUCCAGAGCAUCCAGGGAAGAGAGCAGGAGCACAGGGAGAGUCUGUGUGUCAGUGAGCACACAGCAGCCACCUCCCUCCCCAACUCUGAUGCGAGGAAAUUUCUAACUUCCACAAAGGUGACUGCUGGAGGAAGGAAGGAGAGUAAAUGAAGAGAAAGAGCUGGAAUCACUCCUUCCAGAAGAAAGGGGAAGCAAGUGUGGCUGCAGAUCCCCAGUCUUGUGAAAGCCACAUCCCCACCUGGGGGCAGGGUGGUGGCCAGGGAAAUGGUGGGAGCCUUGAAGAUGUCCCAUGGCUUCUGAGGGCGCUGCCAGGUGGAGGAUCAGAGUGGCAGGCACGGUGUGUGGCCUAUGCGUCCUGACCUUGGUGCCCUCAGUGCUGGCUCU